AGCAGAGCAGAGCAGAGCAGAGCAGAGCAGAGCAGGCCAUAGUCGUGUGAUACGCUUUGAAUAAUUAUUUUGAAGAGCAAACUUGCUGAAUGUUGGGGCGUUUGCUGCCUGUGCCUUUUUAUGAACAAAUUAAACCAAAUCUGCAAAACCAACUCCUCCCUUUUCUUCCCUCAAAUGUCCAGCCAGACUACACCUCUUGUUCCAAAGAUUCUCCCUCAGAAGAACCUUCCUUCCUUCGACAGUUUUGAUUAGCUUCAGGAUUUUUGGAAUGCAUGUUCUUUAUUCGUACUACAUGGAACAUUACCAAUAGCAACUCUUAAGUGUAUGAGACAACAGUGAAUUAUUGUAUGCAUAUUUAACAAAUUUACAGAACAAGUAAAAUUUGUUUUGAAUAUUAGAUUCAUACAUCAGCAGUGAAACCUGAUUGUAGUCCUUCAAGAUAUUGUACUUAAUUCUUAACAGAUUUAUUCGGUAAUUAUUUGUAAACAAUUGUGUGUUAAGAGAUGUGAAUUAAACACAUUGUCAUUACAGAACAGGACAGGAGAAUAAGGCUAAAAUGAA